AAAAUAAUUUUCUUAAGCUCUUGUUUCAUAUCAACAUUAAGCUGAUUUAAAAAGCCCUCUUCUCUUUCCUGGCUCCACAUCCCUGCUCUUUGCAAGGCUAGUCGGCCUUGCACAUCGACCCGCUAGUAGAGCUUGUACAGUCAUGCAGUCAGUUGUAUAUGAAAAUUAAUCCAGGUUAAAAAAACAAACCAACUAAAAGUGAUACGUUUUCAGCCACACCAUAUCAAUUCAUUCAUUCAUUUCACCGCCCACUCAUAUUAGCUCAAGUGCUGCCACAACCAAAGGAGCAUGACCACACGUUUUGCCAAUGGUUUUCACUUUGAUCUAUUUAAAGCCAUUGUGAGAUGACAGCCUGACUAUGAACGCUCUUAGAUAUCCUUGUGGGAUCACGACUGAGAAGGUUCCUUGGCACGAAUGGAGUAUAUGCUGAAUUCUUUAUUUUGAAGCUUUCUGCUGUUGUUAAAGCUUAAAGUCAACUGGCAUGACGCUUCACUCAUCUGAACGGAAGCAGAACGCUGGAAGAGAGUUGGAUCUACUGGAACACAAGCUGUCACUAGAAUGAUGGCAACCUUCCCCAGGGUGUGGUGACUUCAAGGAUCCCUGCCCAUGAGCUGAGUAGUCCUUUCCAGUUCUCUCAGUCUAGACAGCAACUCUUCAUAUCCAAGUAACUAAUGAAGCACCUGCCUGUGUGUAAGUGGGUGAGUGGCUCCCUUUAACAGGGCCAAGGCUUACUAAAAGGCCCCUUUAAGGUAAACGCAGCCCAGUUGUAAAAGAACUCUUGGGCGU
rnacentral:lncRNA from 1 species